CCCUUAGAUGUUCUGGGCCGCACGCGCGCUACACUGAUACAUGCAACGAGUUUUGUCCUUGGCUGAAAGGCCUGGGUAAUCUUUGAACGUGAAUCGUGCUGGGGAUAGAUGAUUGCAAUUAUUCAUCUUCAACGAGGAAUUCCUAGUAAACGCAAGUCAUCAGCUUGCAUUGAUUACGUCCCUGCCCUUUGUACACACCGCCCGUCGCACCUACCGAUUGAAUGGUCCGGUGAAAUCUUCGGAUCUGAGAGAUGUUGGAUUAAUUUCUGACGCCUUUUGGAAAAGUCGCUUAAACCUUAUCAUUUAGAGGAAGGUGAAGUCGUAACA
rnacentral:rRNA from 1 species